UGAUACUAAGCCAUGCGAGUCAUUGUAGCAAUACAAGGCAGACGGCUCAGUAACGCGUAGUCAACCUACCCUAUGGACGGGAAUAACCUCGGGAAACUGAGAAUAAUGCCCGAUAGAACAUUAUGCCUGGAAUGGUUUAUGUUCCAAAUGAUUUAUCGCCGUAGGAUGGGACUGCGGCCUAUCAGUUUGUUGGUGAGGUAAUGGCCCACCAAGACUAUUACAGGUACGGGCUCUGAGAGGAGUGGCCCGGAGAUGGGUACUGAGACACGGACCCAGGCCCUAUGGGGCGCAGCAGGCGAGAAAACUUUGCAAUGUGCGAAAGCACGACAAGGUUAAUCCGAGUGGUUUCUGCUAAAGGAACCUUUUGUCGGUCCUAGAAACACCGAUGAAUAAGGGGUGGGCAAGUUCUGGUGUCAGCCGCCGCGGUAAAACCAGCACCUCAAGUUGUCAGGAUGAUUAUUGGGCCUAAAGCAUCCGUAGCCGGCUCUGUUAGUUUUCGGUUAAAUCUGUACGCUUAACGUACAGGCUGCCGGGAAUACUGCAGAGCUAGGGAGUGGGAGAGGUAGACGGUACUCGGUAGGAAGGGGUAAAAAUCCUUUUGAUCUAUUGAUGACCACCUGUGGGCGAAGGCGGUCUACCAGAACACGUCCGACGGUGAGGGAUGAAAGCUGGGGGGAGCAAACCGGAUUAGAUACCCGGGUAGUCCCAGCUGUAAACUAUGCAACUCAGUGAUGCAUUGGCUUGUGGCCAAUGCAGUGCUGCAGGGAAGCCGUUAAGUUUGCCGCCUGGGAAGUACGUACGC
rnacentral:rRNA from 1 species